UGAGGUGAUGAUAAACCAAAACAGGGAUUCCUCAUGCCGAAGAUCAAAUGUGGAAUGUUUUCUAUAGUUUCAGCCUUGUCUGAUC
rfam:Magnaporthe oryzae 70-15 chromosome 2, whole genome shotgun sequence.